rnacentral:rRNA from 1 species
GAGGGGGUCGCGGCUGAUUAGCUAGUUGGCGGGGUAACGGCCCACCAAGGCGAUGAUCAGUAGCCGGCCUGAGAGGGCGCACGGCCACACUGGAACUGAAACACGGUCCAGACUCCUACGGGAGGCAGCAGUGGGGAAUUUUGCACAAUGGGGGAAACCCUGAUGCAGCAACGCCGCGUGGAGGAUGAAGCCCCUUGGGGCGUAAACUCCUUUCGAUCGGGACGAUAAUGACGGUACCGGAAGAAGAAGCACCGGCUAACUCUGUGCCAGCAGCCGCGGUAAUACAGAGGGUGCAAGCGUUGUUCGGAAUUAUUGGGCGUAAAGGGCGCGUAGGCGGUGCGGUAAGUAUGCUGUGAAAUCUCUGGGCUCAACUCAGAGCUGGCAGCGUAGACUGCCGUGCUGGAGUGUGGGAGAGGUGCGUGGAAUUCCCGGUGUAGCGGUGAAAUGCGUAGAUAUCGGGAGG